GAAAAAAAAAAUUAGACAAAAUGGCUGCUCGCAUGCGGUGAGUGUCCGCGGGCUUUGGUCCUGUUGCUACAGACUUUUGUUUGCACCCAGCAGUCAAGCAUCCAUCACCUGCCGAUGACGAGAAGAUGUAGGAGAGGUGGAACGAGAGCUUUGGAACUGGAGAUUGCCAACCUUCCUUUGCAGCUUUGGAACUGGAGAUUGCCAACCUUCCUUUGCAGCUUUGGAACUGGAGAUUGCCAACCUUCCUUUGCAGCUUUGGAACUGGAGAUUGCCAACCUUCCUUUGCAGCUUUGGAACUGGAGAUUGCCAACCCUCCUUUGCAGCUUUGGAACUGGAGAUUGACAACCCUCCUUUGCCGCUAUGGAACUGGAGAUUGCCAACCCUCCUUUGCCGCUUUGGAACUGGAGAUUGCCAACCAUUGAACCAUCUGAAGGGAGCAGGAGCAGCAGACUGGUGUGGCUCACUACACGGCCCAUUCUCAAUGCAGCUCGAAGAGGUUCUCAUCAAAGCCCUCGGCGUGCUUCUGAUCAUUCAGGAGCAAUUAACACAUUGGUCUUCAAACCUCAGACUUUCGUUCUUGGGCAAUGAAAACAUUCGAAUUUUCAGUCCGACUUGGAAUCGGUGCUCACUGCGCCCUCUAUCAGAUAGCAGCGGACACAUUGGUGGACUGGUGGAGGGGACAGGUGACCUCCCUCUCUCUAAACUGGAGUUACAUGAGGUGACGAUUCCAGCUGCAGUCUGUCCCCCCCUGAAGAUGCCUUAAACACAGAGACAUGUUUUGAUCUCUGUGUUAAAGGCAUUUUCAGGGGGGACAGACUGCAGCUGGAAUCUCAUGUAACUCCAGUUUAGAGAGAGGGAGCUCCUCUGUUUCCUCCACCAGUCCACCAGUGUCUUUGUAUGUAUGUCUGCUGUCCAAGAGAGGGUGCAGUGAGCACUGAUUCCUCAGGGCAUGUGUUGGGCUUAUCCUUAUUCGCCUUAUCCAGGUCGUUUUGUAAGUUUUGUCCCCUACACCACUCUCAUCAAUAGGAAUCUUCACGAUUUCACUGCAGAUGGGGCUCUGUAUAUUCUAAACCUCUCUCUGUUUUGGGAGCUCCCAUGUCCCC